rnacentral:rRNA from 1 species
UGAGGAAUAUUGGUCAAUGGGCGAGAGCCUGAACCAGCCAAGUAGCGUGCAGGAUGACGGCCCUAUGGGUUGUAAACUGCUUUUAUGUGGGGAUAAAGUGCGUGACGUGUCAUGCAUUGCAGGUACCACAUGAAUAAGGACCGGCUAAUUCCGUGCCAGCAGCCGCGGUAAUACGGAAGGUCCGGGCGUUAUCCGGAUUUAUUGGGUUUAAAGGGAGCGUAGGCUGUCUAUUAAGCGUGUUGUGAAAUUUACCGGCUCAACCGGUGGCUUGCAGCGCGAACUGGUUGACUUGAGUAUGCAGGAAGUAGGCGGAAUUCAUGGUGUAGCGGUGAAAUGCUUAGAUAUCAUGACGAACUCCGAUUGCGCAGGCAGCUUACUGUAGCAUAACUGACGCUGAUGCUCGAAAGUGCGGGUAUCAAACAGG